GACGAAGGGGGCUAGCGUUGUUCGGAAUUACUGGGCGUAAAGCGAGUGUAGGCGGUUGCCCAAGUCAGGUGUGAAAGCCUUGAGCUCAACUCAAGAAAUGCACUUGGUACUGGGUGGCUAGAGGACCGGAGAGGAUAGUGGAAUUCCCAGUGUAGUGGUGAAAUACGUAGAGAUUGGGAAGAACACCAGUGGCGAAGGCGGGCUAUCUGGACGGUUACUGACGCUAAGACUCGAAAGCGUGGGGAGCAAACAGG
rnacentral:rRNA from 1 species